rnacentral:rRNA from 1 species
UACGGAGGGGGCUAGCGUUGUUCGGAAUUACUGGGCGUAAAGCGCGCGUAGGCGGAUUUGUAAGUCAGGGGUGAAAUCCCGGGGCUCAACCUCGGAACUGCCUUUGAUACUGCAAAUCUCGAGUCCGGAAGAGGUGGGUGGAAUUCCUAGUGUAGAGGUGAAAUUCGUAGAUAUUAGGAAGAACACCGGUGGCGAAGGCGGCCCACUGGUCCGGUACUGACGCUGAGGUGCGAAAGCGUGGGGAGCAAACAGG